AUACGUAGGGGGCGAGCGUUGUCCGGAAUGACUGGGCGUAAAGGGCGUGUAGGCGGCGGUGUAAGUCUGGAGUGAAAGUCCCGCAUUCAAUGUGGGAAUUGCUUUGGAUACUGCAGUGCUAGAGUGGGGAAGAGGUAAGUGGAAUUCCCAGUGUAGAGGGGAAAUGCGUAGAGAUUGGGAGGAACACCAGUGGCGAAGGCGACUUACUGGGCCGUAACUGACGCUGAGGCGCGAAAGCGUGGGGAGCGAACAGGAUUAGAUACCCUGGUAGUCCACGCGGUAAACGAUGAAUGCUAGGUGUUGCGGGUAUCGACCCCUGCAGUGCCGGAGUAAACACAAUAAGCAUUCCGCCUGGGGAGUACGGCCGCAAGGUUGAAACUCAAAGGAAUUGACGGGG
rnacentral:rRNA from 1 species